rnacentral:lncRNA from 1 species
GAUGCACUAUGCAAAUAUACGUUCAAGAUGUACUUUUAAAAUCAAACAAAUUUAUUGUUUUUUAGUGUCCAAGCUCAGAUAUAUGUAUGAACAUUGUUCUGUGCAGUACAAACUGCUAAUUUCCUAUUUUCUUCUCCAAUUGCAGCAUCAAAUGUGAGCGAUUAUGUUGCCAUAUAUUUUGAUGCACCUUCAUCUAGCAGCAGGAUUACAAGUGGGGUGGUUUUCAUGGCUCCUGUAAAGGCUUUGAUUGAUGACAAUGUCAAAGUCAAAUUCAUGCGCCAGAACAGCAAUGGUCUGUAUGAAUUUACAGAGGACUGUGAAGCCCAUCAGCCUAAAAAAGAUGUACCGGUAAUACAGAAGAUGACUCUACCAACCAGGACCCCUACCCCAGCAGGCAGAGCUUACCUUUAUAAUUUUUAAGAAGGAGAACUGGACAUGUUGGCAGAUAAAUUUCUUUGAAAUAAGAAGUAGAUCACAAUUGUGUUCCAGGACAAAAACCUGUAAAUACUUACCAUGCUAUUGGUUUCAAAUAUAUGAAUGUCUGUGUAAAUGUAAACACAUAACAAACAAGUUCGUGGAAGCCACUGUGCGGAAAUUUAAUUCUUUGCACUAAGAAUAAAUGAUGACAAAGACGCAAGUGAAGGGUAGUGGUACAUUGCUAUGAAUUAACAUAAAUGGUUUCUAUGUGAACAAUUAUUUUAAGUACUUUACUUACAGUUCAAGAUUUCAUCAAACCUUCAAAAGUAAGGUUAAAUUUCGCUUUGUAUAUUGCCUUUGUAGUUGACAAUAUAGUGUGUUAACAUGUUUGAAGCCUCCGAAACACUUCUUUGAACUGAUCCUAUACAUGUAUAUGUUUCCUGAAUGUUUCAACUUUGAUAUGAGAAAAGUGAUUUCCUUGGAAAUUACAUACUUGACAAUAUAUUCCCUGAGUAUCAGCACAGAUUUGAAAUCCUCAUGGAUUCUAUUAAGUGACUUUGCAAUGUUUGUGUACUGAACAUAAAACUCAUCGUAUUAAGUAAAGAUAAUUUGUAACAUACAUGUACCGUACUUUAUAUUAACAAGUAUUUUUACUCUCUAAACAAAUGUUUUAGGUGUUAUAUUAGUAAUUUACCAUAUCAUUAACAGUUUUAAGUUGAAUUUUUCUUAAUAUGUUACCUAAGUAAUGGACAACAUUUUAUGUUAACAUGAUUGAAGCCUCCGAAACAGGCAUUUUGUUAACCUGAAGCCUCCGAAACACACACAUAAGAAAUUUUCAACUUCCUCAUUUGAAAUGCGAUUUCUUUGGAAUUUGCAUGGUAAUUAGCCCUCACUGAAUGGUAUUUGUAGAGUAAUUUUUAUUUUGCUCCCCCUCUUGGAAGAUAGGUAAAUUUGAAAAAUUAAAUGUCAAAGUCAUAUUUUAUCUUGAAUUUGACAAACGCAUUGAAUUUUUUUAAAGACCAAAUAAGUUUGACCAAAAAAGCUUUAUAAGCCUUUAAGUACAUUAGAAUAGCAAAUGAAAAAUUGCAAUUGAAUUAUGUUUGGAGAACAAAUGUUGUCAUUUAAGUUGAUAGAAUUAAAAUGUUGUUUUUGUUCAAAUUUA